rnacentral:rRNA from 1 species
AUACGUAGGUGGCAAGCGUUAUCCGGAUUUAUUGGGCGUAAAGCGAGCGCAGGCGGUUGCUUAGGUCUGAUGUGAAAGCCCACGGCUUAACCGUGGAGGGUCAUUGGAAACUGGUCGACUUGAGUGCAGAAGAGGGAAGUGGAAUUCCAUGUGUAGCGGUGAAAUGCGUAGAGAUAUGGAGGAACACCAGUGGCGAAGGCGGCUUCCUGGUCUGUAACUGACACUGAGGCGCGAAGGCGUGGGGAGC